rnacentral:misc_RNA from 1 species
AACAGAACCCCCGAGCGUUAUCCGGAUUUAUUGGGCGUAAAGGGUCCGUAGCCGGUCUGGUAAGUCUUAAGUUAAAUACCAAAGGCUCAACCUUUGGGGUGCUUGAGAAACUGCCAAACUAGAGGAUGUCAGGGGCUGAUGGAACGCACGGUGGAGGGGUGAAAUCCGUUGAUAUCGUGCGGAACACCAAAAGCGAAGGCAUUCAGCUGGGGCAAUCCUGACGGUGAAGGACGAAAGCGUGGGGAGCAAAAAGG